GGGCAUUAGCUUAGUGGCAGAGUGCUUGCCUUGUACAUAUGAGGCACUGGGUUCGAUCCUCAGGACCA
rnacentral:tRNA from 1 species